AUCAAGUUUCAGAAGACACACAAUUUUCAUGGUACGCGGCGAAGUUCUAGUUUUCACAUUCACUUUGUCUUUUGCUUUUUUUUUUUUUUUCUUUUCAUUGUUCAGAAACUCUUCGCAACUCGCUGAGCUAAUGAAGGGCUCAAGCUGAUUAGCUUCUUUUCUUCUCUUGCGGCGUCUCCAACCUAAUUGUGAUUUUUCUCUCUUUUUUUUUCUUUCUUUCUCUUUCCUCUUCAAGCUUCUGGUGCACGUGUUGAAGUUCUUCUGCCGGCUGUGAAUAAUUUCUGCAGUUCUACUUCUACAAUCAAGAAAUAGAAGAUUCCCACUUAUUGCCUUAUAUUGAUCGCUGAUUAUUAAUUGACCUCAUUUUUCAGAAUUAAAUUUGUUGGAUUUCAUCUAAAUUCAUCCUAGGCUUAAGGGUAGGAAAAAAUGAAGCGAUAAAAAUUUAAUAUCGUCAAGCCGUUCGCGACGUUCGUUUCAGCGCAAUUGAUCGUUCUAAUCUACAUAUAUAUCUCAACGACAGGAAUCGAGUUUCACGUGCUCUUUACGGCUGCUUUUCGAGCUUUCCCACCGUUAUAUCCGUAUCAUGAUACCACUCAGACAAUUUGAACGAGAUUUUAGGAAAGUAAAAAAGGAAGAAUAAUUCGGUAUAAGCCGCUUACACCAAGAUCUUCGAAAUAUAUCAAGGUGCGGUGAAAAAAUAAUGGCAAACUCUGCAAUACGCGAACCGAACAAGACAAGGAACAAACAAACGGAAAAAAAGGAAGAAAGAAAUGAAAAAUUGAAAACGACUCGAGGUUAGCCGGUUGCAGCGAACUGAAUUAUUUUUGUACGUCCUACGCAGCGUCGCGAAGCACCUGACGAUUCGUAACAUCGCACAAUCGAUGAAUAAAAAAUAAAAAUGAUAAAAGAAGAAUAAAUAAAUUAUCGGGUCUCGAGGUGCGACGCCCUUAAUUAUGGCCGGUAAAUUUGAACCGGGUGAUUUUAUGUAAAGUGAAAUAGCUUGAACGUGCAGGGUAAAGAUAACGAAUGCGUUGAAUGUAUAGGAUCUUUCAAACAGAAGCCAUCGUUGAUUACACAGCCUGCAGUGUUGACAAACGGGGGAUUUUCAGAGUUGAGGAUAAAAGAGGGAAAGAGGGAAAGAGGGAGGUAGAUUUUGCUUUUGCUUUACACGUUAACGUAAAGUUUAGUUCGGCGAGUCGCUGCAAUCAGUAAAUUUUAAAUGGACAAUGUAAAGCCGGCAGUCCAAGGAAUUAAACGUGAAACACAUAAUCGGUAAAAGGAAAAGUUUGGUGAAAGGUGCCCCCGACAAAAUACCGUUGCAAUUAUACAAGAAUGAGAACGGAGAUAAAAAGCUCCGGAUUUAUGAGAAACGGAUAAAAAAUUUGAACCCAAUAAAAUUGAAAAUAAAAAAAUAAA